rnacentral:rRNA from 1 species
AGUGAACGCUGGCGGUAGGCCUAACACAUGCAAGUCGAACGGCAGCACAGAGGAGCUUGCUCCUUGGGUGGCGAGUGGCGGACGGGUGAGGAAUACAUCGGAAUCUACUCUGUCGUGGGGGAUAACGUAGGGAAACUUACGCUAAUACCGCAUACGACCUACGGGUGAAAGCAGGGGAUCUUCGGACCUUGCGCGAUUGAAUGAGCCGAUGUCGGAUUAGCUAGUUGGCGGGGUAAAGGCCCACCAAGGCGACGAUCCGUAGCUGGUCUGAGAGGAUGAUCAGCAACACUGGAACUGAGACACGGUCCAGAAUCCUACGGGAGGCAGCAGUGGGGAAUAUUGGACAAUGGGCGCGAGCCUGAUCCAGCCAUACCGCGUGGGUGAAGAAGGCCUUCGGGUUGUAAAGCCCUUUUGUUGGGAAAGAAAUCCAUCUGGUUAAUACCCGGGUGGGAUGACGGUACCCAAAGAAUAAGCACCGGCUAACUUCGUGCCAGCCGCCGCGGUAA